GGUCAGAGCGUUGGGACGUAUGUCCUGUUCUUAGCUAUUUUGCAUAGUGGUGAAUGGGUGGUGCACAUACCUGCUUUUGGUGUGCACAGUAUUCCCUGAUUCCCCAACUUAAAAAGUAGGAAGAUAUGUUUUAGACUCCACUUUCCAAAAUAUUACACAUAUAUUGCAAAUACAACCAUCUAAAUCUAUGAAAAUGGGAGUGACUUACUCAGCGGUACAGCAAAUCAUCUUGCCGAAAGAGGCCGAUACUUAAAGCAACAUUGUCAUCCUUUUCAUCCCUUACCCAAGUUAAUAUAAGCAUAUGUAUGAAAGUAGAAUAUACUAUAAAAGAUGAAAAUUGUUGAAUUACUAAAUCUACAAACAAAGAAAAUAAAUUAAUAUGUGAACUAAUUCCAUCAUGUUAUAGGCCCUACAUACUGGCAGAUAUCCUGUCGAGGUGCCCAACGGCCGAUGCGGCGGUGGGGGGGGAGGGGGGGGAGAGUGAAGUUUCUUUACUCCACCCGGCUCCAUAGCACUGCAUGCUGAUAUGGACGAGAUUGUCCAUAUUGGCAUGCAUGUAUAAACGAGCUGGCACCAACGAUGAACAAGCGCGGGGCCGCGCAUCGUUCAUCAUUGGUGCCUACACACUGAAAGAUGUGAACGAUAUCUCGUUCAUUACUGAACGAGAUCGUUCAUAUCUUUCAGUGUUAUCGCUGAGUGUGUAGGGCCCAUUACUCUAUAAGCAGGAGGUCAUAUAAAAAUGAAUAGAUGACUUCUUUUAAACACACCGCCAAACUUGUUUUCUCUGACCUGAUUCCACAUAAUUUGCAUGUAUGAUUAGAUUUAGAGUUCUUCUUGUAUUAACUCUUUAAAAUUCUCUUACUGGUAAGGAGAUAAUGUUGGCGGGGAUACAGCAACCUCCCAUCAAUCUGUCAUUCAUUUCACUUGUAUUUUCUGCUCCUGAGAUACAGGGGGACAUUGAAAGAUUUAUAGGAGUGACGUGUACAAAAUCAAAUUGAAAUUGCAAUGUAAAAAUACAGCUGUGCAGCAUUUGUGGGCUUCACACAAAAGCAACCAAUAUUUACCCUGCAUGCAAAAAAUAACUGUAUUUGCAGCCCUUGCUUUGCUACAUGGUUUAUCUAGGUGCAAAGUUGUCCAGGUCUGCAUGUGACCUGCUGAAUAUGAGAGCGGAGAGUAUUUUACUGCAAUUCAACGGUGUUUACAGCAAAUAUGUUAGAGUAGGACUUACAGCAAUGUGGAAGCCCUGACAUGGCGUGCAAACUUAAAUCUUUUGCUCAAAAUAGAAACUAAUUCCUCAGGCUUCCACAGGUUUGCAGUGGGUAUAAGCAUUGGCAAUAAGUGUCGUUCUGUUUCCUCAAAUAUAAGAAACUUGUAUUGCAAUGUGGGUAUCAAAACAGAAACUGAUGCGUUUCCACCCUUGGCUAUCUACAUUACAGAUGGCUGACCAGUACCACAAUAUGCAGAAACAAAUAACUUCAAUACCAACUGCUGGAAUUUAAAAAAAUAGCAGAACCAUUACCAGUAAUCAUGUAACAUACAUCUAACUAAGAAACAUCCAAAAUACAAUCAUAGCAUUGCAUCACUUUAUUACAUCAUUUAGCAAAUUUUCCAACCAUUUUUGAACGUCUAUGUGUUUCUCCUCAAUCUCCUACUCACACUAUCUCCCAGAUAUAUAGUAUUAUUAUUACAGCCCCCACCAUUUACCAUUUCAUGGGAAAAAGAUCUCCAAGAUCUAGUUACACAGUUUAAUUGGGAAUCAACAUUUCAAAACACUUAAGCGAGCUCCCUCUGCUUAUCCACGCUAGAAAAUCUUUAUAAGAUUCUGUAUAGAUGGUAUGUAAUUCCCCUAAUUCUCAAUAAGAUGUAUCCCACUUUAUUUGGCCAAUGUUGGAGAUGUAAGUCUGCUCUAGGGAGUUUCCUACAUAUACGGUGGAAUUGUGCUCCUUAUAUCUCCAUAUUGGUCUGGGAUGUUUAAAUGCUCAGAGUUAAUGCUCAAAGGUGAGGUGCCCAAAGAUCCAGGAUUCUGGUUACUCAAUUUAACCUCUGCUAGCACAAAUACCUAUAAACACUCGCUGCUCAGACACCUUAAUAACACAUCCAAGGCAAUAAUCCCUCGAUCAAAGAUUGGCUCAAGAAAAUUAAGUAUUUCAUGGAGAUCUUAUCUCUUUCUCUUCAGGGCAAAUCUCUAACUUUGCCGCUAUUUGGCUAUCAUAGCUUGAAUUUAAGGAAACACCCACAUAUCGAACUUAUAUGAGUUCAUAAGUUGGUUCCUGGUGUUUUUGAAUUUCUAUUUAAACCACCUACGAGUAUUACCUCCCGUCCCUUGCGAAUUUAGGGGGUAAUUCAGAUCUGAUCGCAGCAAAAAAAUUGUUAGCAGUUGGGAAAAACCAUGUGCACUGCAGGUGGGGGCAGAUAUAACAUUUGCAGAGAGAGUUAGAUUUGGGUGGUUUAUUUUGUUUCUGUGCAAGGUAAAUACUGGCUGCUUUAUUUUUACACUGCAAUUUAGAUUUUAGAUCAAACACACCCCAUCCAAAUCUAACUCUCUUUGCACAUGUUAUAUCUGCCACACCUGCAGUGCACAUGGUUUUGCCCAACUGCUAAUAAAUUUGCUGCAAUCGUAUCUGAAUUAGGCCCUUAGAUUGCUGGAAGUGGAGAUGUCCAUACCAUGUUUACUUUAUACCUCCAUAGCUCAACAUCCUGUUUUCACUAGGGUUACUCAUUUUCUCUUGCCUUUCUUACUCAUUUCUUUCUUUCCUUUCUCUCCUUUUUAUUUUUUUCUCCUAUCAACUGUUACGACAUUGAGUUACGAAGAUAGACAACUUUAUACUGUCUAACAUGUACGCAGUUACUUCUGGAAGACACGCUUUAGAGUGAAGAGAGGGGGGAUGACCUGAAGCAAAAUCAAUAAAGAAGGGGCAUUACCUUGUGGAGUCCAUCAGCCCCAAGCAACAUGAAGGAAGUGCUGCACCAAAACCAGAAACACUAGAAGUUUGAACUAUGGCCCUCAUUCCGAGUUGGUCGCUAAGAGUCUUCGCAACGCAAAUGUACGAAAUGUAAGUAUCUGCGCAUGCGCAAAUGCGUGAUUACGCAUGCGCGAGUACAUACGUACGACAACUGUGCAAAAUUACUCAGAAAAUAAAAAGCCGUAACUGGCAAACGAAAACGAGGAGUGGCGUGGGCGUGGCGGAGGCGAGACUUCGCAAUGCUCCGACAUGGGCGUGAAAGUGGGCGUACAGUGUGGGAGUAUGCAACUCGCAAUGGGCGUGUUUUUCGCAAAUAAACAUUGUCGCUGUUAAAACUAACAUAGGACACCGUAGCAACAUUCACGCAGCAGCCGAGUAGGUCUGCAGUUACUCUACAUUUGCGAAGUACUGGUACAAGUGUGUAUGCAGUAAUUAGCAGUUAAUUGGAUAGCACAUUCAUCUGAUGUCCAAUUACUUGUUAAUUAAUGAGCAGAUGAAAGUUACCAACCAGCAAUUGUCUGAACACACAUUACAUGUUUAUUCUACUCACAUAUAAAUCUCACACACUGCCAAAUAAGGGUGUGAUUUUUGUUGAAGUUGUUGUGUAAGCAUUUUUUAAACUUGAUUUAAUGUGUGUAAGACUCCCAAAUACAAACAAGUGAAAAUAUUUGUGAAAGUGUUUGAAAUCUGCAACUUUUUUGACAAAUAAACCAACACCCACAUAAUGCAGCAUACACUUUAAUUUAGUCUUAAAAGUCACUAUAAUAUUUGAUUAUAAUAUCUGACAAUGUUUGAAAUGAUGUCCUGUUGACCAUAGAUAUUUAUAAAA